UUAAAUUGAAGAGUUUGAUCAUUGCUCAGAUUGAACGCUGGCGGCAGGCCUAACACCUGCAAG
rnacentral:rRNA from 1 species